CUCCACCGAGCCCGGAAGUCCCACCUCCUUCUGGACGCCCGCGAUUUGACGCUAUCAGGAAGGGACCCAAUGAGGGAUGUUGUGGCGGCGGAUCGGUCUCGGAAGCGCUUCUGCCGCCUGCGGCUGCGUCUGUCAGAGCCGCUCCAGGUUCCCCAGUUGCCGGUACUGACGGUUUAAAAUUGGCCAGAUAGCAGUUCUUCACGGAAAGCACAAACUCGAACCAGAGUGUCAGGUUUGAACCCUGGACUGUCCUUCAAGAAUGAGUAGUCUUGGCUAGUUAAUGACCUCCGUGAGCCCCGGGUUUCUCAUUUGUAAAAUGGGGGUUCUAGAAGUGCCUACCUCACAGAACUGUGAAGACCAGGAAUAAACGGAGCCCGGCACGUAGUGUCAUGGAGGUGCUUAUUGAGAUUCUUAUUAUGACUUAACGUUUCCCUUCAGGCAGGGUACAUUGCAUCUACCUGUGCUCCACACUUGACUAACCUUUGAGAAGUUUCCUGUUUUACCAGAAUGCGGUAUGGGUACGGCAAGCGGAAAAGUAUAUGGAUUUUUCCCUUUAGGGAAGGGGGUGAUAGUAAAACGUGGACUUGGUUCAUGUCCUAGACGUCAGAGCCUAGCGGCGCUUUUUGUUUUUAUACAUUUAUGCUUAUACAUUUGUCUUGGCUGGAAAUCGCCCUGGGGUAUGGAAAGAGCUUACUGAAAUUAGGGAGGGUGUGGGUGAGCAGGGCACAAUGAUAAUUCUCCUCUCUUCAUAGAAAGGCAAUAAAGACCAAUUUUAAGUUACUACUAUUAUUAUCCACCACAUUUGUUGUCUUAUUCCAAAUUCAAAGUAUCAGAAGUAGGCUCAGACAUCAUGUUGCCUCAAGUUUAAUUGGAAAUUGUGGCAAGUACUUACCAACAUUAGUAACAAGUCUUUAUUCUUUGAGAGUGGAUUUCAUUUUUGAAACCAAAUAAAUCUUCCAGAUCAAAACCAGGUGACUCAGACUAGGCCAGGAGUGGGCAGGGAUACAUUCUCCUAAUUAUCAUGUAUUUCUCAAGAACUAGCUCUGAAAGGCAAUUUCAGAGCAGUUCUAAAUAUCCCUUGAGUAAUGACAGUACUGUUUGGAAGUAUGCUAACUUUCAAAGGGCCAAUAUUUUAAGAGAUAAUACUAACUUGUACUUAUGAAUUCAGGUGUUCCAUUAAAAAUCAGUUGCAUGUCCUGCCAAUCAUGUAAGUUGUGUACUGAGCUGAUCUAUUUAUCAGGAUAGGGAUAGGCAUUUGUUCAUUCAAAUAUUUAUGGAUAUUUAUUGAGCAUUUUAAUAAAUGCUGUGAUAGACCCUUAGAGUUUAUCAAGUCUGUCAAAGACUAGAAACCAAAUAAGAUUUUUUUGUUUUUGUUUUUUUGUAGUUUACAAAGCAUGGUGUAGGUUAUUUGCCUGUGGUCUUUGACCCCCACACUCUCCUAAACUCUGCUCUGUGAUCAUAGUUGGCCUGAGAGUCUAUAGACUACAUUUCUCAGCCUUCCUUGUCAAAUGGCUUUCUUUUUUUUUUUUUUAAGAUUUUAUUUAUUUAUUUGACAGACAGAAGUCACCAAUAGGCAGAGAGGCAAGCAAAGAGAGAGGGGGAAGUAGGCUCCCCGCUGAGCAGAGAGCCCAAUGUGGGGCUCUAUCCCAGGACCCUGGGAUCAUGACCAGAGCCGAAGGCAGAGGCUUUAACCCACUGAGCCACCCAGGCACCCCUCAAAUGGCUUUCUGUAUGAUUCUCCCAGGAAGAAACACAAGCAGAAAAUCGUAAGGUGGAACACGGGAAAGCUGUUGUUCUUUUCUCUCUCUCUGCAUCUGGUAUCCAGGGAGACAUCUGUGCCCUUUAAAAGUCCCAGAGCCAAUUGCAGCGGCCCCUCCAGUGGUCCUGCCUUCCCUUUUCUUAUCCUUAUGUAGCAUCCCCAGUUGUGAGUUUGCUCUCAGAUUUUGAUAAUACCGUCCGCACCCUCUGUUCUACCAGCUCUAGGAACUGGUAGCCACUUCCAGCAUUAGGAAUUUCUAAUUUAAUCUCACCUUCCUGUUUUGUUCUUCUAGCCUUCGACGCCUAUGUCAACAUUUCCCCAUAGCAAAUGCUGUUUAGAACUUUUUUAGUGAUUUCUGUUUUCUUGCCUGGCAACCAAACUAAUAAAGAUGCAAAUGUGUUCUACUUUA